rnacentral:rRNA from 1 species
UGAACGCUGGCGGCAGGCUUAACACAUGCAGUCGAGCGGGGGAGGGUACUCGGUACCUGAGCUAGCGGCGGACGGGUGAGUAAUGCUUAGGAAUCUGCCUAUUAGUGGGGGACAACAUUCCGAAAGGAAUGCUAAUACCGCAUACGCCCUACGGGGGAAAGCAGGGGAUCUUCGGACCUUGCGCUAAUAGAUGAGCCUAAGUCAGAUUAGCUAGUUGGUGGGGUAAAGGCCUACCAAGGCGACGAUCUGUAGCGGGUCUGAGAGGAUGAUCCGCCACACUGGGACUGAGACACGGCCCAGACUCCUACGGGAGGCAGCAGUGGGGAAUAUUGGACAAUGGGCGCAAGCCUGAUCCAGCCAUGCCGCGUGUGUGAAGAAGGCCUUUUGGUUGUAAAGCACUUUAAGCGAGGAGGAGGCUACUUGGAUUAAUACUCUAGGAUAGUGGACGUUACUCGCAGAAUAAGCACCGGCUAACUCUGUGCCAGCAGCCGCGGUAAUACAGAGGGUGCGAGCGUUAAUCGGAUUUACUGGGCGUAAAGCGUGCGUAGGCGGCUUCUUAAGUCGGAUGUGAAAUCCCUGAGCUUAACUUAGGAAUUGCAUUCGAUACUGGGAAGCUAGAGUAUGGGAGAGGAUGGUAGAAUUCCAGGUGUAGCGGUGAAAUGCGUAGAGAUCUGGAGGAAUACCGAUGGCGAAGGCAGCCAUCUGGCCUAAUACUGACGCUGAGGUACGAAAGCAUGGGGAGCAAACAGGAUUAGAUACCCUGGUAGUCCAUGCCGUAAACGAUGUCUACUAGCCGUUGGGGCCUUUGAGGCUUUAGUGGCGCAGCUAACGCGAUAAGUAGACCGCCUGGGGAGUACGGUCGCAAGACUAAAACUCAAAUGAAUUGACGGGGGCCCGCACAAGCGGUGGAGCAUGUGGUUUAAUUCGAUGCAACGCGAAGAACCUUACCUGGUCUUGACAUAGUAAGAACUUUCCAGAGAUGGAUUGGUGCCUUCGGGAACUUACAUACAGGUGCUGCAUGGCUGUCGUCAGCUCGUGUCGUGAGAUGUUGGGUUAAGUCCCGCAACGAGCGCAACCCUUUUCCUUAUUUGCCAUCGGGUUAAGCCGGGAACUUUAAGGAUACUGCCAGUGACAAACUGGAGGAAGGCGGGGACGACGUCAAGUCAUCAUGGCCCUUACGACCAGGGCUACACACGUGCUACAAUGGUCGGUACAAAGGGUUGCUACCUAGCGAUAGGAUGCUA